rnacentral:rRNA from 1 species
UACAGAGGGGGCAAGCGUUGUUCGGAAUUACUGGGCGUAAAGGGCGCGUAGGCGGCCUGCUAAGUCGAACGUGAAAUCCCCGGGCUCAACCCGGGAACUGCGUCCGAUACUGGCAGGCUUGAAUCCGGGAGAGGGAUGUGGAAUUCCAGGUGUAGCGGUGAAAUGCGUAGAUAUCGUAAGGAAGACCAGUGGCGAAGGCGGGUCUCUGGACAGUUCCUGACGCUGAGGCACGAAGGCCAGGGGAGCAAACGGG